GUGGGAUAUGCCAUGGGCGCAGCUGAUGCAGCCAUGCCGCGUGUAUGAAGAAGGCCUUCGGGUUGUAAAGUACUUUCAGCGAGGAGGAAGGCAUUAAGGUUAAUAACCUUGGUGAUUGACGUUACUCGCAGAAGAAGCACCGGCUAACUCCGUGCCAGCAGCCGCGGUAAUACGGAGGGUGCAAGCGUUAAUCGGAAUUACUGGGCGUAAAGCGCACGCAGGCGGUCUGUCAAGUCGGAUGUGAAAUCCCCGGGCUCAACCUGGGAACUGCAUUCGAAACUGGCAGGCUAGAGUCUUGUAGAGGGGGGUAGAAUUCCAAGUGUAGCGGUGAAAUGCGUAGAUAUUUGGAGGAAUACCAGAGGCGAAGGCGACUCCCUGGGUAAUAACUGACACUGAGGUACGAAAGCUUGGGGAGCAAACAGGAUUAGAUACCCUGGUAGUCCAUGCUGUAAACGAUGUCAAUUUGAAGAUUGUAAUAUUAUUAUUUUUUAUAAUUUUCGUAGCUAACGCAUUAAAUUGACCGCUGGGGAUUACGACCGCAAGGUUAAAACUCAAAUGAAUUGACGGGGACCCGCACAAGCGGUGGAGCAUGUGGUUUAAUUCGAUACAACGCGAAAAACCUUUACCUACUCUUGGACAUCUAUCAGUAAUAAC
rnacentral:rRNA from 1 species